CUGAUCCAACUUGGAAACCAGAACUUCAGCUGCAGUUCUUACCAAGAGCUGGUGAAGCUAAUGAGUGUGGAAGUUGCGAUGUCUCAAACAAUGACAAGGAAACUCAUCUACAGCAGCUUUAUCAAGGUGUACCUGACAAGAAAAAACGUAGAAGAUCCUGGAUGUAAUCAAAAUGUGAAUGGAAGUGAAGAAUGGCUAAACAAAAACAUUGGAAGUUUGUUU